GACGAACGCUGGCGGCGUGCUUAACACAUGCAAGUCGAACGGAAAGGCCCUGCUUUUGUGGGGUGCUCGAGUGGCGAACGGGUGAGUAACACGUGAGUAACCUGCCCUUGACUUUGGGAUAACUUCAGGAAACUGGGGCUAAUACCGGAUAUGAGCUCCUGCUGCAUGGUGGGGGUUGGAAAGUUUCGGCGGUUGGGGAUGGACUCGCGGCUUAUCAGCUUGUUGGUGGGGUAGUGGCUUACCAAGGCUUUGACGGGUAGCCGGCCUGAGAGGGUGACCGGACACAUUGGGACUGAGAUACGGCCCAGACUCCUACGGGAGGCAGCAGUGGGGAAUAUUGCACAAUGGGCGGAAGCCUGAUGUAGCAACGCCGCGUGCGGGAUGACGGCCUUCGGGUUGGAAACCGCUUUCGCCUGUGACGAAGCGUGAGUGACGGUAAUGGGUAAAGAAGCACCGGCUAACUACGUG
rnacentral:rRNA from 1 species